rnacentral:rRNA from 1 species
CCUACGGGAGGCAGCAGUGGGGAAUAUUGCACAAUGGGCGCAAGCCUGAUGCAGCGACGCCGCGUGAGGGAUGACGGCCUUCGGGUUGUAAACCUCUUUCAGCAGGGACGAAGCGCAAGUGACGGUACCUGCAGAAGAAGCACCGGCCAACUACGUGCCAGCAGCCGCGGUAAUACGUAGGGUGCAAGCGUUGUCCGGAAUUACUGGGCGUAAAGAGCUCGUAGGCGGUUUGUCGCGUCGUCUGUGAAAACCAGCAGCUCAACUGUUGGCUUGCAGGCGAUACGGGCAGACUUGAGUAUUUCAGGGGAGACUGGAAUUCCUGGUGUAGCGGUGAAAUGCGCAGAUAUCAGGAGGAACACCGGUGGCGAAGGCGGGUCUCUGGGAAAUAACUGACGCUGAGGAGCGAAAGCGUGGGUAGCGAACAGGAUUAGAUACCCUGGUAGUCCACGCCGUAAACGGUGGGCGCUAAGGUGUGGGUUUCCUUCCACGGGAUCCGUGCCGUAGCUAACGCNUAGCGCCGCCGCGGAGGUACGGCCGCGACGACGUAAACGUUAAACGUAAAGUAGUACGGCGUGAGACGUGCGACGACGACGACGAGGGAGGAGG